rnacentral:rRNA from 1 species
AAAUAGAUACCCCGGUAGUCCACGCCGUAAACGAUGAGUGCUAAGUGUUGGGGGGUUUCCGCCCCUCAGUGCUGCAGCUAACGCAUUAAGCACUCCGCCUGGGGAGUACGGUCGCAAGACUGAAACUCAAAGGAAUUGACGGGGGCCCGCACAAGCGGUGGAGCAUGUGGUUUAAUUCGAAGCAACGCGAAGAACCUUACCAGGUCUUGACAUCCCGGUGACCACUAUGGAGACAUAGUUUCCCCUUCGGGGGCAACGGUGACAGGUGGUGCAUGGUUGUCGUCAGCUCGUGUCGUGAGAUGUUGGGUUAAGUCCCGCAACGAGCGCAACCCUUAUUCUUAGUUGCCAUCAUUCAGUUGGGCACUCUAAGGAGACUGCCGGUGAUAAACCGGAGGAAGGUGGGGAUGACGUCAAAUCAUCAUGCCCCUUAUGACCUGGGCUACACACGUGCUACAAUGGACGGUACAAACGGUUGCCAACCCGCGAGGGGGAGCUAAUCCGAUAAAACCGUUCUCAGUUCGGAUUGUAGGCUGCAACUCGCCUACAUGAA